UACGUAGGGUGCAAGCGUUAUUCGGAAUUACUGGGCGUAAAGCGUGCGCAGGCGGUUUUGUAAGUCAGCUGUGAAAUCCCCGGGCUUAACCUUGGAACUGCGUUUGAAACUACAAGGCUAGAGUGUGGCAGAGGGGGGUGGAAUUCCCGGUGUAGCGGUGAAAUGCGUAGAGAUCGGGAGGAACAUCAGUGGCGAAGGCGGCCAUCUGGGACAACACUGACGCUGAGGCACGAAAGCGUGGGGAGCAAACAGG
rnacentral:rRNA from 1 species